CUUUGAACAGCGAUCCUCAGAUCUCAGCUUCUUGAGUAGGUUUGGUGUUUAUUGGGCCCACGGGCUGUAUAUUACCUCCAGUGCCCACAUCCAGCUCGCAUAGCAGUAGCCCCAAAGGGAGAGGGCGAUUUCCUUAAGCACCAUCUGAACCCCAGGCAUCUCCUCACCGACUUCAGUCUCCUCAGCCACAGGAAGUGGGGGCAGCGUCCCAUUUCACAGAUGGAAAGAUCGAGUCUCUGAAGUCUUUGGAAAAUUGAAAGUAAGCUGGGCGGCAAUGGCACCUCCGUGAUUCUAGCUUCUCAUCAGACUGAGAUUGAGGAUAUUCGUUUGAAGCCAGUCCAAGAAAAGUCCAAGAGACCAUUUAUCUCCAAUUCACCACCAAAAAGCUGGAAGUAGA